AUCCCAAAUCAUAGAGACGAGUCUGCCAAGUCCAAGGAAACUACUCCUCUCAGUCUCACAAUUUCACAAUUCAAUAUCGUGUUUUGAGGUUAUCUCCGCAAGUUAAGGUCGGAGCGAGAAAUUCAAGUUAAGGAAAUUAAACGAACGAGGUUGAGCAGUGACGGUGGAGAAUGCUGAGCAAAGUUGAUGAUUUCCUUUUUUUAGUAGAGGCUCUCGGUGGUGCAUGUCUCCAUACAUGACUGCAUUCCUUCCGCUGCUUAUUGUUCUUCUAUACUCUGAUAAAUAAUUAUUGAAUAGUAAGAUUUUCAUUCAAGUUCUUGUGAAAAAUUUAAUUUGAAAUUGUUUCCCCUUUA